rnacentral:rRNA from 1 species
GACGAACCGUGCGAACGUUGUUCGGAUUCACUGGGCUUAAAGGGCGCGUAGGCGGGCAAGUAAGUCUAGGGUGAAAUCUUUCGGCUCAACCGGAAAAGUGCCUUAGAUACUGCUUGUCUAGAGGGAGAUAGGGGUUGCUGGAACUUCCGGUGGAGCGGUGAAAUGCGUUGAUAUCGGAAGGAACGCCGGUGGCGAAAGCGAGCAACUGGACCUCUUCUGACGCUGAGGCGCGAAAGCUAGGGGAGCAAACGGG